AGACCACCUGCCCUCAAAAGAUUUGUUUUCUAGAGAAACAAAGCAAAAUCUAGGUGCUGCAAGAAAAGUCACAGCCUUGGGGUUUCAGUGAAGAGACAGCCCAAAUGCUCUUGAAGUAGUCAGAAAAGUCUACAGGUGUGACUCCCUUAUGCCGCUCUCUCCUGCCAUUUGGGCAACAGCCAACUUCCGAGGCCAACCUUGUUUCUGGAGAAGCAUUCUUCCCACAUGGGAAAGGCAAGGAUGGUGCUGAGCCUGUCUGCCUCUGUGUUCCCUGGACAACUCCAUUCCAGUGCAAGAUUCUCAUGGUUGAAUUCAUAUUUUAAGUGCUGUUUGUGGGGUUUUGAGCAGUUGCCAUUCUGAGGAGGAGCAGAGGAGCAUGGCUUUGCCAAAG
rnacentral:lncRNA from 1 species